GUAGGUGAACCUGCGGAAGGAUCAUUACAGAGUUAGGGUCUUCCAGGCCCGAUCUCCCAACCCUGUGUCUAUUUUACCACUGUUGCUUCGGCGGGCCCGUCCUGGUACGCCGGGACCGCCGGGGGACCGUCACACCGUCCCCUGGCCCGCGUCCGUCGAUGGCCCAACCACACAAAACUCGUGAAGAAUCGUGUCAUUGUCUGAGUACAAAUAUCAAAAAUUAAAAACAAAACUUUCAACAACGGAUCUC
rnacentral:misc_RNA from 1 species